rnacentral:rRNA from 1 species
AGUGAACGCUGGCGGUAGGCCUAACACAUGCAAGUCGAACGGCAGCACAGUAAGAGCUUGCUCUUCCGGGUGGCGAGUGGCGGACGGGUGAGGAAUACAUCGGAAUCUACUUUUUCGUGGGGGAUAACGUAGGGAAACUUACGCUAAUACCGCAUACGACCUACGGGUGAAAGCAGGGGAUCUUCGUACCUUGCGCGAUUGAAUGCGCCGAUGUCGGAUUAGCUAGUUGGCGGGGUAAAGGCCCACCCAGGCGCCGAUCCGUAGCUGGUCUGAGUGGAUGAUCAGCCACACUGGAACUGAGACACGGUCCAUACGCCUACGGGAGGCAGCAGUGGGGAAUAUUAGACAAUGGUCGCAAGCCUGAUCCAGCCGUACCGCGUGGCUGAAGAAGGCCUUCGGGUUGUAAAGCCCUUUUUUUGGGAAAGAAAAGCAGCAGGUUAAUACCCCGCUGUUCUGACGGUACCCAAAGAAUAAGCACCGGCUAACUUCGUG